UUUUGUAGUCUUCCAACCUCAACUCAAGCUCCGACUACUAGCAAUAUAGCAUAUAGAGAGAGAAUCAAAAUUAUUCAAAACCCGAAAUUUAUCAACUACAAUUGAGACAUGCAUCUAUGGCCGACAAAGAAUCUCCGAGAUUCCUUCAAGCAUUCAUACCUCAAAAGGCUCGAAUGGAACUACCAGAGAAUGAAAGCGGAAAAGGACCAACAAUCUUCAACGGAACAGAAACUUCUGGAGAACGAAAACCAGGAUCAGAGCAACAACGGUGACGCACCCAACCUCCUUAAUUGCGAAGCUGGCUCGGUCUCUUCCCUGUUCCAGGAACUGUUGUUGGUUCUCUCUUGCUGCUACUGCUGCUUUUGCUGUGGUGCUUGUGUUGAUGAGAAAUAAGGAGCUACAUGGCAGUGCUUCUAUUCUAUCCUCGAUGCUCUUGGUGAAAAUUUGUGCAUAGUACAGUGAUCAAGUUUUGUACAUCUGGUUAUUGAUUUUCUUAUCAUUAUUUAGAUUUUAACAUUAUUAUACAAUUAUUCUGUUAUGUGAUUCGUAAAGGGUACUAACUAAUAGACUGAUUGAUAGGAUUUGGUUCCUCUUUAUAUUUUCUACAACAAUGCCUUUUUUUUUCUUUCUAGUUUAGAUUUAUUUUCAUGUUAAAUGUCUUUUCAUUGAAAUGACAUCAAGGAUGAGCUCAUAAACAAUUUAUAAACGACCUCAUUGUUGAUCAAAUGGAUAACGUUGUAAGGUACAUUUUCAUA